rnacentral:rRNA from 1 species
AUGUGCGGGAUCUUCGCCUACCUCAACUACAAUGUCUCGCGGGAGCGCCGCUACGUCCUCGAGGUGCUCCUCAACGGCCUCCGCCGGCUCGAGUACCGCGGCUACGACUCCUCCGGGAUAGCGGUCGACGCGGACCUCCCGGCGCCCCCUGCUCCCGGCUCCGCGCCGGCUCCCUACGCCGGGGCGCCCCCGCUCGUGUACCGGCAGGAGGGCAAGAUCGAGAACCUCGUGCGAUCCGUCUACGCCGAGGUUGAUGAGAAGGAUGUGAACUUGGAUGCCGCAUUCAAUGUGCAUGCUGGAAUUGCUCACACCAGGUGGGCCACACACGGCGUACCAGCCCCGAGGAACAGCCACCCGCAAUCUUCCGGCGCCGGUGACGAGUUCUUGGUCGUGCACAAUGGCAUCAUCACAAACUAUGAGGUUCUGAAAGAGACACUUACUCGGCAUGGGUUCACCUUUGAGUCUGAUACCGACACAGAAGUCAUCCCUAAGCUAGCAAAGUUUGUUUUUGAUAAGGCUCAUGAUGGAGAAGGUGAUGUGACAUUUAGCCAAGUUGUUAACGAAGUCAUGAGGCAGCUUGAAGGCGCCUACGCCCUUAUUUUUAAAAGUCCACACUACCCCAACGAACUGAUCGCAUGCAAACGAGGCAGCACACUGAUACUUGGUGUCAACGAAUUGAGUGGUCAAAAGAGCGGGAAAUCUUUCAAUGAUGUCAAAGCCCUGACAGCAAACGGAAAGCCAAAAGAGCUAUUCUUCUCCAGUGAUUUAUGUGCUAUAGUGGAGCAUACCAAGAACUAUUUAGCUAUUGAAGAUAAUGAAAUCGUUCAUAUCAAGGAUGGCAGUGUGUCUAUCCUUAAGUUUGACCAUGACAAAGAGAAGCCAGCAUCUGUGCAACGAGCAUUAUCUGUUCUUGAGAUGGAAGUUGAGCAAAUAAAGAAAGGAAACUAUGACCACUUCAUGCAAAAAGAAAUCCAUGAACAACCACAUUCACUGACGACAACGAUGAGGGGUAGACUAAAGGAUGGUGCAGUUCUUUUGGGGGGACUGAAGGAACACCUCAAAACAAUUAGACGCAGUAGAAGAGUAGUCUUUAUUGGCUGUGGUACUAGUUACAAUGCUGCGUUAGCUGCGAGAACUUUUGUGGAAGAACUAACAGGUAUUCCUGUGACAAUGGAGGUUGCAAGUGACUUGCUGGACAGACAAGGUCCCAUCUACAGAGAGGACACUGCGGUUUUUGUUAGCCAGUCAGGGGAGACAGCAGAUACCCUUCUUGCUCUUGAUUAUGCACUGGAAAAUGGAGCACUUUGUGUUGGCAUAACAAAUACUGUUGGAAGCACACUCUCAAGAAGAACACAUUGUGGAAUUCAUAUCAACGCUGGUUGUGAGAUUGGUGUUGCUAGCACUAAGGCAUACACAAGUCAAAUUGUAGUCAUGGCAAUGAUGGCCUUGGCUAUUGGAUCUGACCAAAUAUCCACUCAAGCUAGAAGGGAAGCUAUCAUCAGUGGUCUUUUCAGUCUUCCAAGCAAUGCUAGUCAAGUUCUGAAACUUGACUCUGAAAUGAAGGAACUUGCCUCUUCAUUGAUCGACUCGGAAUCGCUCCUCGUGUUUGGAAGAGGUUAUAACUAUGCCACUGCCUUAGAGGGUGCUCUCAAAGUUAAGGAGGUUGCGCUGAUGCAUAGUGAAGGCAUGUUUGCUGGUGAGAUGAAGCACGGGCCUCUAGCCCUAGUGGAUGAAAACCUCCCCAUCAUCGUCAUUGCAACACGCGACGCAUGCUUCAGCAAGCAACAGUCCGUGAUCCAGCAGCUCCUUUCUCGCAAGGGGCGUCUGAUCAUAAUGUGUUCAAAGGGAGAUGCCUCUGCUGUCAAUCCCGGCGGAUCUUGUAGAGUGAUUGAAGUUCCAAAGGUUGCGGACUGUCUCCAGCCAGUGAUUAACAUAAUACCAUUACAGUUGCUCGCAUACCAUCUCACCGUUCUUCGUGGAUUCGAUGUUGACCAACCAAGGAAUCUGGCGAAGAGCGUGACCACCCAGUAA